GAUGAACGCUAGCGGCAGGCCUAACACAUGCAAGUCGAGGGAGGAGCUUUCGGGCUUCGACCGGCGUACGGGUGCGUAACGCGUAUACAAUCUGCCUUUCACAUAGGGAUAGCCCGAAGAAAUUUGGAUUAAUACCUAAUGGUAUAUAGAGGUGGCAUCACCUUUAUAUUAAAGCUGAGGCGGUGAAAGAUGAGUAUGCGUUCUAUUAGCUAGUUGGAGAGGUAACGGCUCCCCAAGGCGACGAUAGAUAGGGGUUCUGAGAGGGAUAUCCCCCACACUGGUACUGAGAUACGGACCAGACUCCUACGGGAGGCAGCAGUGAGGAAUAUUGGACAAUGGUCGGAAGACUGAUCCAGCCAUGCCGCGUGCAGGAAGACGGCCUUAUGGGUGGUAAACUGCUUUUGCAGGGGAAGAAUAAGGACUACGCGUAGUUUGAUGACGGUACUCUGCGAAUAAGCAUCGGCUAACUCCGUG
rnacentral:rRNA from 1 species